GAGCAUUUCCAUAGAGCCACUUUGCAUCAGCAGCACCAUAUGCUCCAGUGCUCUGGGAGAGUUUAUAGUCCUGAGAGCUGAACACUGGAGGACUGACAGCUGUCCUUCAUGACAACAGGAGCCACAGAAAUCCUCCUCAUCAGAAACAUGACUCUGAUCUCCGUCCUCAUCUGGACUCUCCUCUGCUGCUGCUUCACAGAGUCCAGAGGCCAGGUCACAGUGACUCAGCCUGGAGCUGUCAGCUCUGCUCUGGGAGCCUCCAUCACCAUCAGAUGUAGGGUCAAUCAGAAUGUUUAUAAUGGGAACUAUUUAGCCUGGUACCAGGAGAAAAAUGGAGAAACCCCCAGACUGCUCUUUUACUAUGUUAACAGUCGAGUGUCAGGGACUCCAAGUCGUUUUGAUGAUGGUGGAUCAAACUCUGACUUCACUCUGACCAUCAGUGGAGUCCAGGCUGAAGAUGCAGCAGUUUACUACUGUCAGAGUGAACACUACAUCAACAGUCAGUAUGUGUUCACACAAUGAAAAAGCGUUGUACAAAAACCUCCCUCAGUCAGACUGAACAGAAACU